rnacentral:pre_miRNA from 1 species
AGAUGAUAACGAUGUUGUUGAUGAUGAUGAUGAUGAUAAUGAUGACAGCAUCAUUAAAUGCAUCAAUAGCAUUUUCGACAUCAUCAGCAGCAUUUUGC